rnacentral:hammerhead_ribozyme from 1 species
UCACCGCUGAUGAGUCCCAAACAGGACGAAACAGUUGUCCAGUGC